GCAUUCGUGGUGUAGUGGUCAGCACGCUGGGUGCGUAUUCCAGAGGUCCGUGGUUUGAAUCCCGGCGAAGGCG
rnacentral:tRNA from 1 species